rnacentral:rRNA from 2 species
CCAGAUUAACGGCGGACGGGUGAGUAACACGUGGGUAACCUGCCUGUAAGAUUGGGAUAACUCCGGGAAACCGGAGCUAAUACCGGAUAACAUUUUGAACCGCAUGGUUCGAAAUUGAAAGAUGGUUUCGGCUAUCACUUACAGAUGGACCCGCGGCGCAUUAGCUAGUUGGUGAGGUAACGGCUCACCAAGGCAACGAUGCGUAGCCGACCUGAGAGGGUGAUCGGCCACACUGGGACUGAAACACGGCCCAGACUCCUACGGGAGGCAGCAGUAGGGAAUCUUCCGCAAUGGACGAAAGUCUGACGGAGCAACGCCGCGUGAACGAUGAAGGCCUUCGGGUCGUAAAGUUCUGUUGUUAGGGAAGAACAAGUACCAGAGUAACUGCUGGUACCUUGACGGUACCUAACCAGAAAGCCACGGCUAACUACGUGCCAGCAGCCGCGGUAAUACGUAGGUGGCAAGCGUUGUCCGGAAUUAUUGGGCGUAAAGCGCGCGCAGGCGGUUUCUUAAGUCUGAUGUGAAAGCCCACGGCUCAACCGUGGAGGGUCAUUGGAAACUGGGGAACUUGAGUGCAGAAGAGGAGAGUGGAAUUCCACGUGUAGCGGUGAAAUGCGUAGAGAUGUGGAGGAACACCAGUGGCGAAGGCGACUCUCUGGUCUGUAACUGACGCUGAGGCGCGAAAGCGUGGGGAGCGAACAGGAUUAGAUACCCUGGUAGUCCACGCCGUAAACGAUGAGUGCUAAGUGUUAGAGGGUUUCCGCCCUUUAGUGCUGCAGCAAACGCAUUAAGCACUCCGCCUGGG